rnacentral:tRNA from 1 species
UCCCAGGUGGCUCAGAUGGUAAAGAAUCUGCCUGCAAUGCAGGAGAGCCAGGUUUGAUCCCUGAGUUGGGAA